UGGCGGACGGGUGAGUAACGCGUGGAUAACCUGCCGUAUACAGGGGGAUAACACUUAGAAAUAGGUGCUAAUACCGCAUAAGCGCACGGUUCCGCAUGGAACAGUGUGAAAAACUCCGGUGGUAUACGAUGGAUCCGCGUCUGAUUAGCCAGUUGGCGGGGUAACGGCCCACCAAAGCGACGAUCAGUAGCCGGCCUGAGAGGGUGAACGGCCACAUUGGGACUGAGACACGGCCCAAACUCCUACGGAAGGCAGCAG
rnacentral:rRNA from 1 species